AUUGCCAUUCUAUGUUUCGACAUAAGAGAUGAGGUGUAAAGGUGUGGCGUGUUGGACAGAGGAGCGGCCUAAUUAUUAUUGAGUGAGUGCUCAUAGAAGGUGAAAAGCCUGUACGGUCGAACCGAUCUGUCAACCGCAACACUGACGAGUCGAGUUGUUUGAGAGUACAACUUAAAGCUGGUGGUAAAUUUCAUCAAAGGCUAAAUAUAUGAGGGGACUAAUAGCGAACAAGUACCAUGAGGGAAAGUUGAAAAGAACUCUGACGAGAGAGUUCAACAGUACGUGAAACCAUAUUGAGUAAAACAGAUAACUGUGUUGUUAUGUGGUGUGCCUAUCAACAGUGAAUUUGGUGUUGCGAGAUCACGAGUGCAGGCUGUCUAUUCAGCUGCGUGCUCAUGAUUAGCAUAGCCGAGUGUUCUGUGCACUAGUGCGCACUCGAUCAUUGAGAAACUAUGCUGCUGCGGCAUCGGCGUGCAUCAGUCUGUACCUAGUACACAGUUGCAUGCUGGGCGUCAGCUAGCCGGCGUAGUUUAGCUGUGUGACAGCUGUGGAUCGCGUUUACCGAGGCGACUUGCUGUAUCUGCGAAUCGGUUGAUUCCUUUUUGCGGUGAGUUCGUCGCUACACGUAAGCGGUCCGCCAUCAAUGCUUAACAUUAGUUAUCUGACCCGUCUUGAAACACGGACCAAGGAGUUCAAAUGGCACGCGAGUCAUUGGGUUUAAGCACCCGAAGGCGAAGUGAAAUGCAAACGUAUUGUUAUUUGUGGUUGUUCCAUGAUGAAGCGAUAAGCUACUCAUGCUUUCUGGCAUUUGUAGACUCAAU
rnacentral:rRNA from 1 species